UGAUUAGUUAGUUGGAGGUGUAACGGACCCCCAAGACGAUGAUCAGUAGGGGAACUGAGAGGUUGAUCCCCCACACUGGCACUGAGAUACGGGCCAGACUCCUACGGGAGGCAGCAGUAGGGAAUAUUGGUCAAUGGGUGAGAGCCUGAACCAGCCAUG
rnacentral:rRNA from 1 species